GUCUCAGUAGCGUAGUGGUUAACGCACAAGCCCCGCUAGGGCGCGAGACGCGGGUUCGAAUCCCGGCUGAGCCG
rnacentral:tRNA from 1 species